GCAUGGUUGUCGUCAGCUCGUGCCGUGAGGUGUCGGUUAAGUCCCAUAACGAGCGCAACCCUACCUUUAGUGCCAUCAGGUAAUGCUGGGGACUCUAAAGGAACUGCCUACGCAAGUAGUGAGGAAGCGGGGAUGACGUCAAAUCAGCACGGCCCUUACGUCCAGGGCUACACACGUGCUACAAUGGCCGAUACAGAGGGCAGCUACCUGGUGACAGGAUGCAAAUCUCCAAAAGUCGGUCUCAGUUCGGAUCGGAGUCUGCAACCCGACUCCGUGAAGUUGGAUUCGCUAGUAAUCGCGCAUCAGCCAUGGCGCGGUGAAUACGUUCCCGGGCCUU
rnacentral:rRNA from 1 species